rnacentral:rRNA from 1 species
CGCGUAGGCGGCUUGGUAAGUCAGAUGUGAAAACCGGGGGCUCAACCCGCGGCCUGCAUCUGAAACUGUCAGGCUUGAGUCUGGUAGAGGAAAGUGGAAUUCCCAGUGUAGCGGUGAAAUGCGCAGAUAUUGGGAGGAACACCAGUGGCGAAGGCGGCUUUCUGGGCCACGACUGACGCUGAUGCGCGAAAGCUAGGGGAGCAAACAGGAUUAGAUACCCUGGUAGUCCUAGCCGUAAACGAUGGGCACUAGGUGUGGGGGGUCAUCAACUCCCUCCGUGCCGCAGCUAACGCAUUAAGUGCCCCGCCUGGGGAGUACGACCGCAAGGUUAAA